CAGUCGUAAUCCAAAUUCAAAACCGUUUUCUUCGAUAUCAACGGCAUCGUGAUGACUGAAUGGGUUCCAGAGGGUCAAACUGUGAACCAACAUUACUAUUUGACAGUUUUGGCAACAUUGCGCGAAUGAGUUCGUAAGAAACGGUCGAUAUUGUGGAAAAACAAGUCGUGGAUCUUGCACCAGGAUAAAGCGUGAAGCGUUAUUUGGCCGCUUAAGGCACU